rnacentral:piRNA from 1 species
UAAAUUAACCACCUCUGCCUUAAACA